rnacentral:rRNA from 1 species
UACGUAGGGUGCGAGCGUUGUCCGGAAUUACUGGGCGUAAAGAGCUCGUAGGUGGUUUGUCGCGUUGUCCGUGAAAACUCACAACUCAAUUGUGGGCGUGCGGGCGAUACGGGCAGACUGGAGUACUGCAGGGGAGACUGGAAUUCCUGGUGUAGCGGUGGAAUGCGCAGAUAUCAGGAGGAACACCGGUGGCGAAGGCGGAUCUCUGGGCCAUUACUGACGCUGAGGAGCGAAAGCGUGGGGAGCGAACAGGA